rnacentral:rRNA from 1 species
ACCGGCGGCUCGAGUGGUGGCCACUAUUACUGGGCUUAAAGCGUUCGUAGCUGGCUUGUUAAGUCUCUGGGGAAAUCUUCCGGCUCAACCGGAAGGCGUCUCAGGGAUACUGGCAGGCUAGGGACCGGAAGAGGUGAGAGGUACUCCAGGGGGAGGAGGGAAAUCCGCUGAUCCUGGGGGGACCACCGGUGGCGAAGGCGUCUCACCAGGACGGCUCCGACAGUGAGGAACGAAAGCUGGGGGAGCAAAACG